CUAUGCUACGGAUUCUUACAGGCCGAUAUUAGGUUACGCCACUGGCAUAUUGCAAAUUGGGAAUAUUUUCUAUGUUUUUGCGCAUGUGCGUUACUCCACCGACACGUAUUAAGCGGUGAAUAUUUCAUUCAUUGGUGCUUGCUUUAAAAACGAACAGGUGUGAUGGCGUCUUGGAAAAUUUUCAUGGGCAUAAUAUAGUUACAUAUCGCCGAAUUGCGGAUUUUCGAGUCCAUGAAUAAUCGAUGUUUUGGAGAUUGGUUUGUUAGACCAUUUUAUCCAUUUACCGUUACGGGAUCUGAAUACAUUUGCUUGACAUAACGCACCUGUUCUUCGCAUCACCUAAGCCAGAGCUUUGAUUGCCGAUAACCUCGAGGCAUCUCGUUAAUUAACGAGUUUUAAAAAGCCCUCUUUUUAAUUAAGAGGGUUUUACUUUUCCUGUUUUUUUUGUAUCGCACGUAAUUAUCUCAUGUCAAACUUGUGGUCACGCAUGGUUGGUUUCCCACUGCUGGACCUUAUUGUCAUCCGAUUGUCCACCUAGAGGCCGAUUGUAGCGGUUAUUACCCGAGCUGAGGGCUCCCGGAUAUCCUGAGAUUUGUAACCACGGGGGUGGACAACCGACACGAAGAAUCUUAAGGGGAGCAGGAACACCACGUAGCCGCCACGUUUCCGGAGAACGGUGAAAUAAACUUUGCCUUUCGAUAUUAGUACUAUUUGCCAUUGCAUAGGCACUCCUAAUGUUAAUCUUAAGCGAAGGGUUACGCUCGCAUCUGGGGCACUUUACCGAUCGGAGGUACAAAGUAAGGGGAUAGGAAUAAUUGGUACAUUUACGGGUCAUACUGCUGUGGAUCCCGUUGAAUUUGUAAGCGCAUGAGUACUCAUACCGCCUUGUUAACUAAGCAACCCCGUACCACGUCAUUAAAGUGUUUAGCUUAUAAUUAAUGCCUAGAACUAUCAAUUUAUGCAACACCGUUUAAUCCAGGCUGCUUGGCCACUGCCGACCUAACUAUAAAAAGGGAAAAGCAAGGGUGGGAAGACCAUUUUGUUUGCGGAUAGACUACUAUUUGGGAAGCGUGGGUUAAUUUAACCCACGGGCUUCGCAUCGGUUGCCGCUCACUAAUUUUUGCAUGUGAUAUUACCUGUGGGUUAGUCAUUAGUUGUUAUAUAUAUAUCUACUUUAGUAGUCGAUUUUAUACAUAUUUAUUGUUACUUGUUAUACUGUGUGUUUUGGGGUACCUUAAAUUGAUUCUGUGAUUAUUUGCAUGUGUAAUUGCUAUACUGUUGGUUACAAAUUAUACUAUCACCGUUGAAGUUACCUCCAGUGUUUUGGAUUAUUGCUCGUUCCUACAGGGUAUUUAUUGCCCUGCAGUGGUAUCAACCUUCCUUGUUCAGGUUGAACCGAAGACCUUCUCUAGUAGUGAACAAGGUGGCGCCCAUUUAUUGUUUGAGGUGGUAAGUCAAAUCGUUAGUCCCACGCCCU